rnacentral:lncRNA from 1 species
UAAACCGCAUUAUGUCAUGUCACGCCCAGAAAUUUACACCAAAUUUCUGAACAAUAGCAUGUAUUAAAUCUCAGUCCAGGAAUCAGCCCGAGUACAAACUAUGACAAAUUAAUACACAGUUCUACGACUUAAAAACAAAUAAAAACAAUUAUCUAUCAAAAUACAGCGGAAAAGGAAAACAAAAUAAAACUCAACUAAUCUUCAACUUCAGCUGGCGAUGACGGCUCCACACCACAGGCAUUCUCGACGGCGGACUGAACCUCACUUCGACCUUGGGAACAACCUUCUGACUGAAACUAGCACUUGCUCUGGUGGAGAAAAAUUAAGCAAGGCUGAGUACAAACCACCGUACUUAACAAGUAACACCCAAGAGAGGGAGAAUAAUGAAUGCAGUAGGGUACAAGAAUAGGUUAAGGUUAACUUGCAUAAAAGCGACAGUAAUUUAGCAAAACAGUAGAUAAAAUAGACUGAAACAAAAGUAAAGUACUUGAAAAUAACCACUCACUGUUCAACGUUACACCACGUUGCAACAGGCCCAAACCACUGUCCAGCGUUACACCACACCGCAACAGGGUCAACCCUCUGCCCAACGUUGAACCACGUUGCGACAGACCCAAACCACUGCCAACGUUACACCACGUUGAGUAGGGUCAAACCAGUUCCAAAUUAAUCAAGUUAUUAAAGGUUCAACUAUUCCCAGUGAAUUUGUCAGUUUGCCCAAUAACCGCGGGCACAGCUAUUCGAAUAGUUUUACUCUGCAGAGGUGUACAACUUUAACCACAAGACAUGGCUCCCAAGCAUGUUACCAUGCCCCAACGUAUCACUACGAUACCUCAGUACGGAAACCAUGAUAAGAUCUUUCACCUAACCCUCCCUAGACAAUUGCACCAUACUUCAGGUUUUGCCCCCUCCUUUACACCAAGUCGGGCAGCCCCCUCUUGUGCCUAAGUGAAUCCGAAAGCAGCAGAGACCAACUUUACACCAUGAUCUCCCGUCCAUACUCCAUCACGCCCACCCUUCCCUCGGUACGUCGAAUAGGGACAAGCUAGACUACAAGUCUCACCGUUGCCCAUUCUGACUUGUGGUUAGUACGUGUAAGACUUCCAGGGUUUCCCGAGAACCAUCCCUAAUUGCCAUGGGCACGACUCUCAGAACCACGCACCCACAGCCCACCAUAAGCAAUAUUUUAGUUGUAUUUAAUCCACAUCAAGAAAUGAAUAAUGAUCACAACCAUUAAAGGUCUAUCAAAGUCUAAUCAAUAAUUAAAUAAUAAUUGGUGAGCUAGUUGAACUAAGCAGGGCUAAGCAUUGCCUAAGCCUAUUUCUAGUCAAAUUAACCCUGGGAUAACAAUGAUAAUAGGUGGGUAUGAACGGGUAUAAAGGUAAUUGCCCAAUAGAUAAAUAAAGUAAAGACAUUUAAAACCAGUGCAUAUUUGAAUGUAAAAAGGGGAAUUUAUAAUGAUGGAAUCAAUAUGUUCAAAGGAGGGUGCCACUUGCCUUGCUCUGACCCACGAGGAACUUCGGCGACAACUUCGCGAACGAACAGCGCUUCGGCAAGCGAAAAACCUACGACAAACAGAGCAAAACUGGCUAUAAAAAUACUGAAACAGAGAAAGAAACUAUUUUUAAUUUAUUCUUAGCGUAUUUCUAGAUUUAAUGAAACUUGAAUGGACCUGAACGGAGACUAGAUGAAUUAGUUAUGAGUUUUAGAAGAUUAACUGUGUUUUUAAACUAAACAGAAAACUUUAACUGAUUUAUUGCGCAAUUAAUUGGAGGGAUGAUGUCAGCACAGGAGAGAGGGAGAGUGCUGUCUAGAUGGACCCACCUAGCAGUGGCACAACUGAGGUGAAGGGAGUAUGACCAGUGGGGCCGACGGGUCAUAGGCUCAGAGAGAAGGCUGACGAACGGGGCCCACGAAGGGAGAGAGAGAUGACUGACGGAGUGGGACCUGCGGGGAGGGAGAGGGAUAAAGCCAGCAUGUGGGGACCACAUGUCGGUGAAAGGUGGAGACUGACAAGCGGGUCCACAAGGAGAGAGAAAGGGGUAGCUGUCGGGCGGGGCCCACAGCUCGGGUGAGAGAGGUAGAGAGUGACGGGCGGGGUCCACCCGUCAGAGGAGAGAGAGGGCUGAUGGGCGGGGCCCAUUAGUCAGAGAGAGAACAGAGAGGGAGAGGGAUGGGAUGCAGCGUUCGGCCGGGUGGCGGCGACGGGCGGUGGAGACGACCGGCAACCGGUAGCGGCGAAGGGGAGUGGCGCACGGCGAAGGCCGGCGG